GACGAACGCUGGCGGCGUGCUUAACACAUGCAAGUCGAACGAAGUGGCGAACGGGUGAGUCACGCGUAAUCAACCUGCCCUUCAGAGGGGGACAACAGUUGGAAACGACUGCUCAUACCGCAUACUGAAGGAGGGGAUUGCGUCUGAUUAGCUCGGUGGAGGGGUAACGGCCCACCAAGGCGAUGAUCAGUAGCCGGUCUGGGAGGAUGAACGGCCACAAUGGGAACGAGAAACGGCCCAGACUCCGACGGGCGGCAGCAGGGGGGAAUCUUCCGCAAUGGAAGAAAGUUUGACGGAGCAACGCCGCGUGAGUGAUGACGGCCUUCGGGUUGUAAAGCUCUGUUAAUCGGGGCGCGGUACCGGAAUAGAAAGCCACGGCUAACUACGUGCCAGCAGCCGCGGUAAUUC
rnacentral:rRNA from 1 species